UGACUGUACUCCAAAAGAAGAUGGCUAUGCAGUUCUAGAACGUGACCUGCAGAUGACCUCCUCUUUAAUAAAAGUACAACAUGGAGAGGCUACCUCCAUGUCCACAAAAGAUGGACCCAAUGCAUGUUGAGACCUGUGGGCUCUAUGGGCUGAACCACUGAAUUAAAGAGGAGGGUGGCUGCCAUAUGCUCCACUUCAUUCAAAUAAAAGGCCUUGAAGUCAAUGGGAAUGGGGCACUAGGGGUGGCCUUGGACUCCUGAUAAAUUGCCAGUGUGGCCCUGGUUUGGGCCAAGUGAAACAUAAUGCUAAAGUCUGAGCUCUCAUGGCAUCCGAGGGCUGUUUGGGACCAUCUCUGCUAUUUAAAAAUAAUUACAUAUGUACAAAGUUGCUGAAUGUAACAGAAAAGCCCAUUCUAAAUUGUGCUUGGGAGUCAUGGGGUCAUUUUGCCCCCUUAGCAAUAAAAAUAAUACUCUGCACUUAGAAGAAAGCCUGUGUGUAAGGACGUCAAAUUUUAUACAUAUUUAAUAACCCCCACAAGCCUUUUACAGACAAAUUCAUGGAGGCACAGAGAUUAAAUGCCGUUGCCACGCACUCACGAAGUGGUGUUGGCAUUUUAAAUAUAAAAUUAAAUUCUGCUCCAUUAUAAGGGAUGUAGAGGGUCCACUUCAUCUACCAAUGAGGUACAGCCACCUCAGGGGUGAACCAUGGUAACUAUCAGUGCACAAUACCACUCAGCAAUUUAAAGGAGGAAGCAAGAAAGAAUGCAGUGUCCAAUCAAAAGUCUGGACUCAAGAGAAAAGGCUUGUCAGGCUCAUGGGACUGUACUGCAAAGUCUAACCUGAAGCUCUGAAGACUUUUCCCUUACUGGACUGUGCAGACAGCAACUCAAAGAAACCUAGGGCCGAUUUCUGCUCUGAGACACCAGUACGGCGUCUCAAGUGUAUAUCUAAAAGGAGAACGGGGAUGUUGGGUCUCGCUGCGGUUUUGCCAUUGUUCCUGAAGACCAGAUGGGCCUCUGCUGGAUCUCAAAUUCCCUAAACUCUGAAGUGUUCAGAUUGGUGAGACACCUCAGGCUAAAUUCAGAGUUUUAACUCCAUUUACCUCGCUUACGGCCCUGAUCUGCUAUAUGUCACAUGCUGUUUCUUUUAUCAUACUCACCAUGGUCAUGAGCAAAUACAAACAAGUUAAGUCCUGUCAGCAUCUGGGCUAAGUCAUCAUAGCGGCCGCAGUGUUCCCCAGCACCAUGAGCGAUAAACACAAGGGCCCU